rnacentral:rRNA from 1 species
ACGGUAGUGUCUCGCACUAUCGUGGCUUUAACGGGUAACGGGGAAUUAGGGUUCGAUUCCGGAGAGGCAGCCUGAGAGACGGCUACCACAUCCAAGGAAGGCAGCAGGCACGUAAAUUAUCCAAUCCUGACACGAGGAGAUAGUGACAAGUGGUAACGAUACCGAGACUUUUUAGUUUUGGUAAUCGGAAUGAGGAAAGUGUAAAAAUCUUAGCGAGGAUCCAAUGGAGGGCAAGUCUGGUGCCAGCAGCCGCGGUAAUUCCAGCUCCAUUAGUGUAUAUUAAAGUUGUUGCGGUUAAAAAGCUCGUAGUUGGAUAUCUGAAUUAGUUAGCCUGACCCAUGUUAAGUCUUUGAUUUAGCUUGUGUUUGUCGGAGCUGACUCGUUCAUCUAUUUCAAGUAUACAUCAUGUUUUGGCUUUAUUGCUAGAAUGUGAUGGAACACUUGAAUCGUUUACUUUGAAUAAAGGAGUAUGUUUAAAGUAGGCUAUACACGUCAUUGUAUUUUUUAGCAUGGAAUAAUAAAUUAGGGCUUUGUGUUUCUUUUUUAUUGGUUACGAAUCUACAUGAGCAAUGAUUAAUUGGGCAGGUUGGGAGUGCUAAUAUUGAUUGGGAAGGAGUGAAACCCUAUGAUCCUUUCAAGAUUUCCAAAAGCGUAAGCAUUCACUAAGGCCUGUUUCUUUAAUCAAGAACGAAAGUUGGGGGAGCGAAGACGAUUAGAUACCGUCGUAGUCCCAACUGUAAACAAUAUCACCUCGGGAUAUGUCCCGUUGACCUUUUCUCUUGCGUUGCCAUGCACCGUUCGAGAAAUCAAAGGGUUCAGAUUCCGGGGGGAGUACAGUCGCAAGUCUGAAACUUAAAGGAAUUGACGGAAGGGCACCACCAGGUGUGGAGCCUGCGGCUUAAUUUGACUCAACACGGGACAACUUACCAGGACAGGACAUAGUAAGGAUUGACAGGUUAGCGAUCUUUCUUGAUUCUAUGGGUGGUGGUGCAUGGCCGUUCUUAGUUCGUGGAGUGAUUUGUCUGGUUAAUUCCGCUAACGAACGAGACCUUGACCUUUAAAUAGUGCAGUGUUUCUUAAAUGUUUAAUUUUAGCGUUUUAUGUUUUCAAAUGUAUUUGUUGUACUUCUUAAUGGGACUGCUGUUUGCAUAAACAGAGGAAGUUCAAGGCAAUAACAUGUCUGUGAUGCCCUUAGAUAUCCUGGGCUGCACGCGUGCUACAAUGGACAGUUCAACAAGUUAUAUCCUUGGCCGAAAGGUCUGGGUAAUCUUUAAAAACUGUUCGUACUUGGGAUCGAGUAUUGAAAUUUUUACUCGUGAACGAGGAAUACCUUGUACGUGUGUUCUAUAUUCCCACUCGGAAUACCGUCCCUGCCCUUUGUACACACCGCCCGUCGCUACUACCGAUUGAGUGAUUUAGUGAUUUUCAUCGAUUUACAUUAUCGACUUAGGAUGCUAUGUUGUGGUAAUAAAGUGAAAUGAACUUGAUCGCUUAGAGGAAGUAAAAGUCGUAACAAGGUUUUCGUAGGUGAACCUGCGGAAG